GUUUAACAUAUUGAGUUCAGUUGAGGGCAGCUUCCCUGUUCUGUUAAUUAAACUUUGGGUCAUUGAAACUGGCUAAUGGGAAAAAAAUAAAAAUCAAUGAAA
rnacentral:snoRNA from 1 species